AUGGCGAGGUUGCCGAUGAGCCUUUCCGGGGCUCCGAGUGACUCCGGAUGGACGUCCUCCCUUAGUCCCGCCCUCCUUCUUCGCUUACCCGGUUCCUUCGGCCGGCUGGCUGGGGACCGGCGCGACGAAGUCGGAGCAGGAACUCAGGGUGAGGGGGGUGGGGUGCGCUUGUGGCUUUUCAGAGCGUAGAGUUUUUCUCCGAGGUGGACUGCUCACCAAGUGACUGGCCCGAAGGGGCUGAGGCCGCUGCCCCGGAGAGUGGCGAGGUUCGGCGCAUUGGCUGGUCGGUAACCCGAGCCCGACGCUGGAUGCCCGGAGUGACAGUGCAGUCCGCACGUGAGCUCUGCAGUCUUCUUUAGCCCUAACUCAGUCACAGGCCCAGGCAGCCGUGUUGGGCAGCGCACUGUGAGUCCUACAAGUGCAGUUGAUACCGGGGUUUUGUUCACGAAGCCGAAGAAUGAGCUUCACGAACACCCAAGACAGCUUCCUUCUAUAGGGACAGUGAGAGAAAAGGCAGGCUUGGAUGCCGAUACUCACCUCCGAAGUUAUCCCCGGCCAAGCCCCUGAAGAUGAUGCCGGGGUUCUUGUUCACGAAGCCGAAGAAUGAGCUUCACAAACACCCAAGGGUAAACAAAAUCCACGUAUCUGCUUGGACAGGCUGCAAAGAUAAGAUACCAGGCUCAUUUUUACCAACGACAAAUACGUUGCACUGCACCUGAGACCAGAAAAGGCUAAGUGUGCCUGCAUCGCCUAUGCGAAAACGCCUGAUAUUUGUGAAUGUCCACUGGGGUCGACGCUCUGUGAUGGGUGAACAAGACAAAGUCCCUGGAUUCUGCCAGCUCCUGGGCUAGUAAGUGAGACAAAUAACCACGUCUAACAGCUGAGUGGGGGUGGGGUUGAGAUAGGGGAGAAUAGAGGGUGGCUGUGGGAGCUCCCAGGAAGGUCCCCUGUCAAGGAUGUGGAGGAGGGGGUGGAGGAGGCUUCACUUGGACACUGCCAUGUGUGGAUGGCGGUCCUGGAACAGCUGUUCCAGAAAAGGACAGGACUGAGAGCUGCAAAGAACCUGGGUCCUUGAUGGCAUCACUGGAUCCCAGAGUAUAUACCCUGCCUGAGCCCACCCUUCCUCCUGAUUUCAUUUUGUGAUUGUGAAUCACCUUUCUGAUGAGGCCUGCUUGAGGAGGAGUUGUCCCACUACUUGCAGCCCAAAGCAGGUUCCCUGAUCCUGUGAGCCUCAUGGGGUUGGGUUGGGAUAGGUUGGGUUUUCGGUGGGAGCGGUAUCACGCAGUGGAUAGUGCACAAGCUCUGUCCUGGACAACCUUCCUUCCAACCCAGUUCUGCCACGUGCUAGCCUAUCAUCUUGAGAAAUUUACUUGGCCCUCUGUGUCUUACUAUUUCGCCUAGGAAAUGGGUUUAUUGUUCUUAACAACAACAGUAACAAACUCAAAGGGUUGGAUUUGUGAAUGUGUAAUGAGCUAACGCAAGGACGGUUCACAGAAAUGGGCACAGCAGUUCACAGCUACUGACGCGGCCGUGGGAGAGGUUGCACAUCGCCCUUUCCACCGCAUGAGCUAUCCAGCAAAGGACAUGACGAUCAUACUAGAUGGCCCUGUCCAGCCCUCCAUGCUCGCUCUUUCUCUGCCACACUCUGCUCAUCCUUGUCCUCACCCAUGGACCACCCCUCAGCAGAAGACUGGCUCUUCCACUGAGGUCUCCCACCUGGGAAUCACAAAUACACAUCAUCUUGUAUUGUGUGCAUCAGUUCAGUUCACUCCAGUUCUGUCCUCCUACAGGUUGGGGACGCUUCUGGUGCGGUCCUGGUGGAUGAUGCCCCUGGCCUCAAAUUCCACAUUGUGAAAGGAGAAUAACUCGGCCUCCUUGAGAGGUUUGUUGGGAGACCUACAGGAGACAAUGGAUGUAGAACACCUAGCUCAUGUUACCUGGCCCAAGGAAAGAGCUAAAUAAACGGCACAGUCAUCUGUCACCCUUCUUUAAUCCACAGCACCUGGUAUGCAAAUGGUAAGAUUUCCUUCUUCUGUUAGGCUAAGUAAUAUCCCCCUUGUAUACAUGUACCAUAUUUCGUUAUCCAUUCCUCUGUCUCCAUUUUCUUUGCUAUUGUGAAUAAUGCUGCAGGAAACGUGGGAGUGCAGAUACUGCAUCUCUUUCAGAUCCUGAUUACAGUUUCUUUAGGACGCAGGUACCCAGGAGUGGGAUUGUUGAGUCAUACUGUAGUUUCAACUUCAAUUUUCUUUGCAGGACCUCCAUAGUGUUUCCCACUGUUCCACUGUGGCUGCGCCAUUUCACAUUCCCACCAACAGUGUACCAGGGUUCCAGUUUCUCCACAUCCUCACCAACACUGAUCUUUUUUUUUUUAAUUCCCAUCCUAACAUGUAUGACCCACCUCUUAUUGUGGUUUUGAUUUGCAUUUCCUCGAUGAUGCGUGAUGUGGCACACCUUUUCAUACACCUGUUGCCUAUUUGUAUGUCUUCUUUGGAGAAAUGUCUAUUCAAGUCCAUUGCCCGUUGUUAAAAUGAGCUUGUUUUCUUGCUCUUGGGUUAGAAAGAUUCGUUAUGUAUUUUGAAAAUUAAUCCCUUAUCAGAUAAUAUGGUUUGCAAAUAUUGCCACCCAUUCUAUAGGUUGCCUGUUUGCUCAUUGG